UACAGAGGUCUCGAGCGUUAGGCGGAAUCACUGGGCUUAAAGCGUGUGUAGGCGGAUUGCUAAGUACCUUGUGAAAUCCCACGGCUUAACCGUGGAACUGCUUGGUAUACUGGCUGUCUUGAGCCACUUAGGGGCAACCGGAACAAACGGUGGGAGCGGUGAAAUGCGUAGAUAUCGUUUGGAACGCCAAUGGUGAAAACAGGUUGCUGGGAGUGAUGCUGACGCUGAGACACGAAAGCGUGGGGAGCAAACAGG
rnacentral:rRNA from 1 species